rnacentral:lncRNA from 1 species
UUAUGUGUCUAUAUGCUUAAGUGUUGUUUGUUUGCUUGUUGACUUACUGUCAAUUAUGCGGGGAAUUCAGAAUGCACCUUUGAUUUUAGUGUUCCAUGUAUUCAUUAAAAUAAUCUGAGGCUGAAUAGCAUUAAACGAAAGCUCCACAUUUUGAAAACAAAUUGUAAAGAAUUAAAAUAGAUUAUCAAUAGAUUUCAUAAGGCCAAUAGUAAGAUAAGAAGAAACUGGCAGAACAUUUGUUUGUUUUCAUUUCUCCACCUUUAAUAAAAUCUAUGACAAUGCUACGUACAUUAUCGCGAGCUGAAAAUUUAGCAACAGCCCAUUUUUCUUGCUGAAUUGAUAAAAUUUUUUACCAUGCUUGGUAAAUUUUUCAUUCUCGAGACAAUCAAUUAUCCGGGAUUUUCCUCUUUCAAAGAUUGGACCAUCUAACUCAAUCACAAAUCCAUAAGUAGAACUGUCAAUCAUUCAAAGCAUACAAUUUAAUUUUAUUCCAUCACUUAAAUUUGCUUAAUGUAAUGAAGCACCGAUACCAAUAGCUUCAUUUUGCAUCCAAAUGUUUACCUAGAUCAUUCCUUCCUAAGUUCCAGAAGAUUAGUCUGUAGAAGGAGUUAGCAUUUGCUUACUCUUAGUCUAAGAGAAAACAGGUAUAUUUUGUUGGAAUACAAAAAAUCUAUCAUAAGAAAGCUUAAGGGGAACUAAUCUUGCAGGCUUGGGAGGGAAGGCCUCACGACUACUGUAUAAACAAGUUGUUCCUCCCCUUCCAGACAUCCUAAUUCCUUUAGGAUCAAUAAACCAACACAUUUUUUUAAUCACCAACUUAUAGUGAGGUUCUAUUCACAAUAUGGUUAUCAUACCUCUAAACCCCUUCAUAUUCUGUAGACUAUGUGCAUCCCAAUAAUUCUCGAGAAUUGUGCUGUUUUAAGUACUCAGACUUUCAACUCUUUCUCUUAAUUUGCCCGUUGGUAGUUAUGUGUUUCCAAAUUCUUAUUUCCUUGUGUUAUUUUUCUCCUUUCUAACUUUUCCCUUUCUCUUCAUGGCAAAAAUGUGUAUCCAUUAUGCAGAGAAACCUUUGAGAACAAUUGAAAUAGAUGUCAAUUUUCAGAAAUAAUCAACUAUCUUGAGCACUGAGAAAAAACGGUGCAUCCAAAUCACCAACUUAUAGUGAGGUUCUAUUCACAUUAUGGUUAUCAUACCUCUAAACCCCUUUAUAUUCUGUAGACUAUGUACAUCCCAAUAAUUCUCGAGAAUUGUGCUAUUUUAAGUACUCAGACUUUCAACUCUUUCUCUUAUUUUGCCCGUUGGUGGUUAUGUGUUUCCAAAAUCUUAUUUCCUUGUAUUAUUUUUCUCCUUUCUAACAUUUCCCUUUCUCUUCAGGGCAAAAAUGUGUAUCCAUUAUUCAGAGAAACCUUUGAGAACAAUUGAAAUAGAUGUCAAUUUUCAGAAAUAAUCGACUAUCUUGAGCACUGAGAAAAAACGGUGCAUCCAAAAAAUGAAUAACCCAAAUCUUGAACAAUUAAUUUCUUAUUGAAGACAUCCCUUCACAAAUUGAGAUUUAAACAAUUUUUAUGAGGGGGGAAAACAAAAUGAAAA